GUUCCUGUGGUUUUAUGUGUCCUUUAGUUGUGUAGUGAUUGAUUGUUCC
rnacentral:tRNA from 1 species